rnacentral:rRNA from 1 species
UACGAAGGGGCUAGCGUUGUUCGGAAUCACUGGGCGUAAAGGGCGCGUAGGCGGCUUUGUAAGUCGGGGGUGAAAGCCUGUGGCUCAACCACAGAAUUGCCUUCGAUACUGCAUGGCUUGAGACCGGAAGAGGUAAGUGGAACUGCGAGUGUAGAGGUGAAAUUCGUGAGAUAUUCGCAAGAACACCAGUGGCGAAGGCGGCUUACUGGUCCGGUUCUGACGCUGAGGCGCGAAAGCGUGGGGAGCAAACAGG